AAUGCCUAGGAAUCUGCCUGGUAGUGGGGGAUAACGUUCGGAAACGGACGCUAAUACCGCAUACGUCCUACGGGAGAAAGCAGGGGACCUUCGGGCCUUGCGCUAUCAGAUGAGCCUAGGUCGGAUUAGCUAGUUGGUGAGGUAAUGGCUCACCAAGGCGACGAUCCGUAACUGGUCUGAGAGGAUGAUCAGUCACACUGGAACUGAGACACGGUCCAGACUCCUACGGGAGGCAGCAGUGGGGAAUAUUGGACAAUGGGCGAAAGCCUGAUCCAGCCAUGCCGCGUGUGUGAAGAAGGUCUUCGGAUUGUAAAGCACUUUAAGUUGGGAGGAAGGGUUGUAGAUUAAUACUCUGCAAUUUUGACGUUACCGACAGAAUAAGCACCGGCUAACUCUGUGCCAGCAGCCGCGGUAAUACAGAGGGUGCAAGCGUUAAUCGGAAUUACUGGGCGUAAAGCGCGCGUAGGUGGUUUGUUAAGUUGGAUGUGAAAUCCCCGGGCUCAACCUGGGAACUGCAUUCAAAACUGACUGACUAGAGUGUGGUAGAGGGUGGUGGAAUUUCCUGUGUAGCGGUGAAAUGCGUAGAUAUAGGAAGG
rnacentral:rRNA from 1 species